CACUCUAGCCUGGGCAACAAGGGCGAAACUCCAUCUCAAAAAAAAAAACCUCCAUUUCAUAAUUGAGGAAAUCAAGUUUCAUAAAAGUUCAGUAAUUGCUUUGUUACCACAGCUGGUAAGGAGUAGGGCAAGUUUGCACCUAGGUCUAAUUCCAGAACCCAUUCUCUUAAUCAUUACAGUAGAUUGCAGGAAACUAAAACUCUAGUCCUGCUUCCAAAGCGGCAAGUCAUUUGAGAGUUUUCUCUCAAUUUCCUUGUCAAUUAAAUGGGGAUAUUGUUACUUGUCCUUACCUAUUUCACAGAAAUAUUAGAUUAAAUUUGUCCUAGAACCUGGGGGAGAGUUCAGGGAAAGAGAACAGCUGGUAUAUUUAAGAAAGAUUUAAAUAGAAAACAUUACACAUGAGAGCAAAAUAGUCCAUUUCUCUAGAGACGGGGUUUCACCUUGUUAGCCAGGAUGGUCUCGAUCUCCUGACCUCAUGAUCCACCCGCCUCGGCCUCCCAAAGUGCUGGGAUUACAGGCGUGAGCCACCGCGCCCAACCCACCAUGCCCCUCUCCAGUAAAUAAUUUCCUUU
rnacentral:lncRNA from 1 species